GGAACAUAAAGCCUCAGCCACACAUUCAGCCUGCUCCUCACACAUCAUUGCUCUCCAAUCCAAUGAAAUAAGGGGAGGUCUCCACUCCUGGAUGUGUUGGGAGCUGAGCUUUGGAAUGCAAGCCACAGUUUGCUUUCACUUGGAGAGUUGGAAGGAGUCACUGCCCUGGGGAUGGAAGCACAGCCCCAGAAUUUGGACUGGUCAUGGACUGAUCCAGUCUGCACUGAAACAGUGGAACUCCAGACCAUCUGGAGUGUGAAGUCCUCUCACCUGGGGUGAGACUGGACUGAGAAAGACUCGGGAUCAUAAGUAACACACUAGGACACUGCAGGAGCAUCAGCAGAGAGUGGGCACAGAGGGCUACUUCAUUGGCAGUCACGUAUAGGCUGACAUUCACAGCCCUGCAGAGAGCAAAUCAAAGGCUGCUGGUUCAGUGUGGUGACUACAUACAUCCCUUUUGCGCCAUCACCAACUACUCAAAGCAGGAGUUUAAAACAAAGACUCAAUUCUCUCUUUCCUGGGUGUCUUGUAAAAAUUAAAGAAACCUAUGAAGGC